UUAAAUAUAAGUCUCGCAUUGCAAUUGGGCAUGUUAUCGGCCAAUUGGCUGUUCCUUCACUCAAGUUCUCGGUAUAAUUUUGUCUAACAGCAUGACCACUACUUCUCAUGCAUCCAUCCUCAAUAGUAUUAAUUACAACAACAAAGUUCAAAUAAAGAGCUUUACAAAUAUGAUUAAUACUUGUUAGAAAAAGCAAGCAGUAUUUCCUUUGGACGCCCAUGAUCUCUGAUCGUCGCUAAUUCUUGGUAGAUCAUCUUCACUUCAAAUCAUCUGUCGAUAUCUUCAACCGCCUCAGAGAAAUAAACAGAUUGGUCCUUAUUAGCACCCUUACAAACCUAUUCCCACAGAGAAAAAAAAAUGGGAGAACAAACUUGACUGCGUUAGUGGCUGACGAAGGUAUAAAUUUUACUGGACCAUGCAGACAGAGAGAUGUACUACAGUGUUCAAGGCAAUAGUGUCGGUUGGGCACAUUUAUAGGCACAAAAAAAUGACAGAAUCUAUUAUGCCAUGAUGGAAUUGCAGUCUGCACCAGCAGCAGGUAUUAUAAAAUAGAGUAGCUUUCGUUUACCUCGAAACCUCGGCUAGUUAGAGAAUCUUGGAGAACUUCUCCAGGUAUGUUCAUUCAUUAAGACAAUCCAGGAAGCAAUUGAUUAAAGAGGGUUUAUUCUGCCGAUGAUGGCGCUCACCUUCAUAAUAGAUUUUGGCUUAGAUGCUUGUAGACCAACUACAGAUUUUGGCUUCUUGCCAUGCCAAGCAACCAAGGAUAUAACAGCCAUCCUGCGCUCCCCCUGCACCUAAAUCAUAGAGGCAUAGUAAGGAAAACAAGUAAAUCUGAAGAAACAAGGCUGAAGGAAACAAGAAAAUGCGCUGACCCACCUUGUCCCCACAAAUACCCAACCUAGAUCAAACCCUAGUCAAAGUCCUUGCUCUUCUUGACCGCUCCGUCUUCACUGCCCAUCUCCUCCCCUCUCGUCCCCUCCCCUCCACCAUUGCCUGCUCCAGCAGCAGAUCCAGCAAGGAAUCCGACCCAAUCGACUGGGCGGCACUCGUCAAGGAGGUCUCCAGCUCCUCCGCCCCAGACGAUGGAAGUCACGCUUCGCAUUGACCUUAGCCGGUCGCGGAUGGACAGGGGCGGGAGCAGUAGUUCCGCAGCCUCCAUGGUUUUGGCACCC
rnacentral:lncRNA from 1 species